UAAAAAUUAACCGAUCGGUGCAGCUUUUACUAAUCUUCCUUUCUCUGGUGGGAAUGGUCCUGGCUCAACAACGACCACCCCAGAGACCGAGAGAUCCGAUGCCGAGAGAAUAUAGAAUUAAUCGCAAAGGUCUUCCGCUUGAUCGUGCAAAAUGGUGCCAAGCUAUUAUCACUCCCAGUUUUGGUUCGGUGUGCUAAUUCAGCUGUGUGAUAAAUAAAUGUUUGAUGUCUUGCUCCAAAGAAAUCGAUGAAGUCAAUCCCUCUUUUACAAAAAAGAGGUUCUGAAAGAAAAUGUUAUUUGUCUGACUACAUUAAAGUUUUUCUUGGUAACAAAAUAAUUUACAGGGCACAUUUCCUAGUUAUUUAAAAUAGAUUGUAGCCCAUCUAGUAAGCCAAUAUAUUUUUGCAUUCAA